GUGCUCGUCCGGGCAGCACAGACCUGAAAUUGGAACGAUAGAGAGAAGGUUAGCAUGGCCCCCGCAUGAGGAUGACGCGCAAAUGGGUGAAGCAUUCCAUGUUUAA